ACAUCGCCACCAAUCUAUUACAUUUAAGUAUCCAUUGCUUGUCAAAUUUGACGUUUUCUGCAAGCAGCCAGCAAGAAAGAAAUCGGCGAGCAAUUAUAUUUACCGAAACGUACAAAACGACGACAGUAUGGGUAAUGCUUAUGCACGUGCCAUUAAGCCAGAUGUAACGCCUGGCCCUGAUUGUGUGCCCACAUUCGAUCCAAUGUUGGGUUUCGAAUCACGCAAGGAGCGUGUCAUGAUAGCGACUGUCGAAGAGAUGGAAUCUGCUAAAUUGCCACUAGAAGAUCGUGACUACUGUGCACACAAGCUGCUUAAAUACCGUGCAUGCCGUGCUGAUACCUUCCCCUUUGUAUACAAAUGUCAUCAUGAGAAACAUGACUAUUUAACAUGCGAAUACGAGGACUACGUGUUGCGUAUGAAGGAGUUUGAACGCGAGCGAAGAUUGCGCGAACGCCAAAAGCAGAUCGAGAAGCAGGGUGCUUAGAAUUUAGGAUAUUAAAUGCUUAAAAAAGUUUUGUUAUACAAAUGUGAUGGCAGUUGAUUGCGGUUCUGCGCUGUUACUAAAAUUACUGCUUGGACCGCUAAAUAACUUGCACGGUGUCACUUUCAUUUUUCAAGCAAAUAGUCAAUGAAAAUAUAUUCUAUAAAUAAAGCGGAAUUAAACAAACGA
rnacentral:misc_RNA from 1 species